UACGUAGGGUGCGAGCGUUAAUCGGAAUUACUGGGCGUAAAGCGUGCGCAGGCGGUUUUGUAAGCCAGAUGUGAAAUCCCCGGGCUUAACCUGGGAAUGGCAUUUGGGACUGCAAGGCUCGAGUGCGGCAGAGGAGACUGGAAUUCCUGGUGUAGCAGUGAAAUGCGUAGAUAUCGAGAGGAACACCAGUGGCGAAGGCGAGUCCCUGGACAACUCCUGACACUGAGGCACGAAAGCUAGGGGAGCAAACAGG
rnacentral:rRNA from 1 species